rnacentral:rRNA from 1 species
CCUACGGGAGGCAGCAGUGAGGAAUAUUGGUCAAUGGGCGCGAGCCUGAACCAGCCAAGUAGCGUGAAGGAUGACGGCCCUACGGGUUGUAAACUUCUGUUAUAAAGGAAUAAAGUGAGGCACGUGUGCCUUUUUGUAUGGACUGUAUGAAUAAGGAUCGGCUAACGCCGUGCCAGCAGCCGCGGUAAUACGGAGGAUCCGAGCGUUAUCCGGAUUUAUUGGGGUUAAAGGGAGCGUAGAUGGGUUUUUAAGUCAGUUGUGAAAGUUUGCGGCUCACCCGUAAAAUUGCACUUGCUACUGGCAGCCUUGCGUACCGUUGCGGUCGGCGGACUUCGUGGUGUAGCGG